rnacentral:misc_RNA from 1 species
AAAUAAACAACCUUCGGAAAGAUUCACUACCAGCAGGGUGCCUCUAAAAACGUGAUUGCAAUAAGUCGUUUUACGCCGUCUUUUUCCUAAAAUAAAGAGGAACAGUUUGUAUUAAGUAUGGCAGCCAAAUUAACAAGGCGCCUACCAACACCAAAUCAUCAUGGAUAUAGUGUCAAGUUUUGCCCAUUUAACAGAGAUGUUAUUGCAGUUGCGUCAGCACAGAAUUUUGGUUUGUCUGGUGGAGGAAUGUUGAUGGUCAAAAAUUUGAGUGCUCCUGGUGAUGGUACAGUUAGCACAUGUAUAUGGGCAGAUGGUUUGUUUGAUUUGACUUUUAGUGAACAAACACCAAACUGCGUUGUCACAGCCUCAGGGGAUGGUUCGCUGCAACUAUGGGAUGUAACAAAAUCUCAGGCCCCAAUAAUGGUCUACCGUGAGCACCAAAAAGAGGCAUACAGUUUAGACUGGACUCAAACUAGAGAUAGCCAGUUCUUUGUCUCUUCAUCUUGGGACGGCACUAUAAAACUGUGGGAUCCAAAUCGAGAAAAAUCAUUGUUGACCAUGCAGGGUCAUGAAGCCUUGGUAUAUCAGGCUGUAUGGUCACCACACAUCACUGGGUGUGUUGCAUCUGUGUCAGGUGACCAGACAUUAAGAAUAUGGAAUACUAAGAAAGAUACCAGACCUGUAAUGACAAUAAGAGCUAAUCAGGGAGAAGUCCUUACAUGUGACUGGUGUAAAUAUAACCAAAAUAUCAUUGCCACUGCUGGCACUGACUGCAAGAUAUAUGGAUGGGAUCUUCGGCGACCAGGAGAACCUGUUUAUGUACUUCAGGGUCAUGGGUAUCCUGUCCGCAGAAUUAAAUAUUUUCCAUUUGCUGAAACCCAGCUAGCUUCAGUAUCCUAUGACUUAACAACUAGAAUAUGGGACCAUUCACUACCAAACCCCAGUUUAUCUGUUUUGGAAACCCACAGUGAAUUUGUCUAUGGUUUAGAUUUUUCAAACCAUGUUGAAGGAUUACUAGCAGACUGUGCUUGGGAUCAGUCAGUUGGGAUAUACCAUGUUCUUAAACCUGGAAACUCAGGACCACUUACACAUGGAGGUGCAACAUGAUUAUUACAAUUUGUGGAGUACACUGAAUGGAUUAUUUCUUAUACAAUAGUAAGAAAUUGUGCAAUUUUAUAAAGAUGUUUAGUGUUACUGAUAUAGAUUUGUUAUAUAUUUCUACAUGUGAUUUUCUGUUGUUUAUCAUCCAAUAGAGAGUAAGACAAGUUUAUAUGAAAUAAUUUUCAAAUAUGUCAAUGAGAUCAGCAGCAUGCAAUUUGUAGAAUGUGGGCCAGAGUUUGGUAGUAUCAGAGCUCAAAUAUUGUUCCUGUAUAAGAAUCAGCAACAACAACAAAAUGUGGUUUUAGCAUCAAAUAUUAUUAUUGACAGUAAGCAGUUCUUAUCAAGCAGCCCAUAAAGAUUACAGAGAUAUACACAAAGAAUCUGUAAAUGUAAAUAGGUAUUAUUUUCUCCUAAUAGUCGAAACAACUGUUAAAUAAGCUGCAUAUACAGUACAUGUUUGUUCAGUGACCCAAUGGUAAAAAAAAAGGUGGACAAAGAUAUGAAGAUGUAAGUAAGUGGGAAUUAGAAAGUAAACAUUGAUAUGUUGUUAAAAAAAAAGAAAAAAGAAAAAGAAAAAAAAUAGGCAACACCAUUAACAUCACAGCAAUAUCCUCAAACCAGUCUGUUCUCUAAACUACAAGAAUUCCAUCAAAUGAACUAAGUGAUAAGAAAAAGUUAUUUUAUACAAUGCCAAUUUUAGAUAUAAAGUUUCAGUUUACCACCAUUUUUGUUCUUUAGUUGCUGAACUUUUAAAAUAAAUAUCCCACUUACCAAAGAAAAAAUACUAGGGGCCAGAGUUUUAAAGAUUUGUUACUUUGUAAAUUUCUUGUGUUUAGAGAAUAGUGGUAGUGAAAAAGAUACAUAUAUUGUUCUGAAACAUGCUUUAUAUGACAGAGAAUAUGUGAAAAUAUGUAUAUGAAUACGAAUAUUGAUUAUAUGACAUAGUAUUUGUGAGUACAAGUAUUGAUUAUCAAAUUAUAAGUGGUCUGUGUUAAUAUUUACUUCAUAGAAAUACAGUAUUAGACCCAAAGUAAAAAGGAUAUUUAAAAUUAUGAUUAUUAAUUUUAGAAAAUUAUAAAACUUUACAGUUGGCAUUGAAUAAUUUGUCUGUGUUACACAACCAGUGAUAUUUUACUAUGGAGGUUAUGAAAGGCUGUAUGUUCCCUUUCUUUUUCACUAGUUUUGCUUAACAAAAUUUGCUUUGAUUAGAAAGUUUUACUAUUUAGUCUUCAUUAUUUUUUAUCCUUCAUCAUUUCUCUCUUUAUUCAAAAACAUAUCUUUUUCUUGUCCUCCCUUUUUCCAGUGGUUUUAUUUCCCUUGCCAUUCUUCCAAUUCCUAUAGCCUACCAUAUUAUUUUCUUUCAUCACCUCCAUAUUUCCAUUAUUCAUUCUAAACUGUAUUUAGCUAUUUGAAUUACAUAUAUAUGAUUUUUGUUGUGCCUUAUGAUGUCUGCCUCCCAUCUUGCCCGAAAUGGCUCAUCAUUUUUUUCUUAAAUUUUAUUUUAUGAAUUUAUCGUGGUCUUUUGGAAACUGCCUACUAAAAGACAAGUGCUUAAUCCUACAUUUUUAUUUGAGUUCAGAUUUUACUACUCUUAACCUUAACCCUUUGCACACAGGUACAUGUACUGUUCAGUUAUUUAUGAAUUUUGUGGUACACAGAUGGCUUGAGAUGUGUUUAGCCUCCAAGGAGUCAGUUAGUAAGCCAGAUGUGAUAUUAUUAUUAGUGAUUCUCGAACCACCUACUAAUAUAGGUGCUGUAUAAUUGAGAGGAAGUCAGUCAGGUCUGUAAAUAUUUUUCUCCUAUAUAAAACGAAAACAGAAAAUGGACAUUUUUAUUUUCAAAAUGUGCCAAAGGACAAAAUAAAGCUAUAGUUCAUGACAGAAAUAAUGAUAAAAGAUGGACAGAUAGAAUUUGUUUGUAAAAAAUAAGUGAAAUGUAUUGUUAUUUCAUUAUGAAUGUGUUUGUAUCUAGUCAGUAGUAAAAAAUCAUUCACAUACUAAUUAAGCAUGUAUUGAUUUUUAUAAAUGCUCAAUUCCUCUCACAUGAAUUAAAAUCAAAGUAUACAGAACA